rnacentral:rRNA from 1 species
UAACAAAGAGAAGCGAAGCAGUGAUGUGGAGCGAAACUCAAAAAAUAAGUCUCAGUUCGGAUUGAAGGCUGAAAUUCGCCUGCACGAAGUCGGAAUUGCUAGUAAUCGUAGGUCAGCAUACUACGGUGAAUACGUUCCCGGGCCUUGUACACACCGCCCGUCAAACCAUGAGAGUUGGCAACACCCGAAGUCGGUAGUCUAACCGCAAGGAGGACGCCGCCGAAGGUGGGGUUGAUGAUUAGGGUUAAGUCGUAACAAGGUACC